GUUGCCCCCAUUUCUCUCUCUUACCUGCUUUUGCUUCUCCUCAGUCCUCAUCCUCACAUCUCCUGCUUUGAUUUUGCUUUAUUUCAUUUUUUAUCUUCAACCAAUCCAACUGAUCAGUUUUGUUUGCUCACAGCCUUCUCGAUACUUCUCUUAUGGUUUGGUUUUUGUGGCCAUUUCUCAGGUUUGGGUCCAACAAUGGUUGGGAUGCUGAGUUUUGUAAAUUUUUGUUAUUCUGAUUUUUCUGUCAAUGGGAUGCCCUAGCUGUUACACCUCGCAUUCCUCUCUCUCCUCAUCACCACCAUCGGAUUUCCUCUCGCUCAUUUCCAGCGUUCAUCUCCGACGCUCCUAUCAACCUCUUCGUCUUCGCCGCUCUCUCACCUGCUCCGCUAUUUCUUCUCCUUCUCUUGAAGUGAUGAUGGGAAAAUGGCACUUGGAAGACUAUGUGCACUUUGUGAGCAGAAAGGGGGAUAUCUCAAGAUAUUUAGUGAAUCAGAAAUCACUUGAUCAUUCUCAACCAUUUAGUGGAUUGAAUUUUUUAACUAAUGAAGUGGGUGCUUAUUUUGCUGUAAGGGGACCAUUUGUCUUCAAUGGAGAUGUUUAGUAUGUUUUCAUUACAUAUUAUUCUAAGAUUAUAAUUUAUUAGUUAUCUUAUUUACGAGGAAAAGAAAACGGAAUCAAAUUAAUGUGCAAUUUGAUUAUUUUGUAGAAUUGGGUUUCGAAGGAAGUCCGUCAAUGGUGAUUGUAAAUUUUACUAUGCUUCUAGGCAAUUCCCCUUAUUUCUCCUCCUCCGAUCGUGCUUAUUGUAACUCUCGGGUUGUGUCAGUCUGCUCAACAUGAACCUACCUGCAGCAAGCUACGCAGCCAAGAACUUCUUCCAAAGGUUUAAUUGCCACAGAGUUGAAAAAGAGAACAGCAACAGGAUGGAUAUGAAAUCACAUCCUGGAAAAUUAAAUCCUGAUAGUGACAAGUGCAGGUGAAGAUCUCUAAUAUAAAUGCUCCCCUAAUUUGUCAUUUGCAACUUAAUAAAUUUAUUUUUGAUGCAAGUAUAACAAGUGGCAGCAGAAGUGUAGGGUAUGAGAGUCCUUCGUGAGAUCGGCUUGUGUAUCUGACAACCUGUGUAAUCGGAUAUCAUGUAAAGUCCAGGUUAAAAUGGAUAGGUGUAAUAUGGAAUUUUCCAUGCUGCAAGUGCCGAUAAAGAUUUUGGGGCUGUCUUGAAAAUGGCUCGAUUGGUAAAGGAUGUCUCUCUUAAGGCACAAAAGGUUACCUCUGAUUCAGCUGUCAAGGCUCCAUAAAAAAACUCUUAUAAUACCAGCUAAUUUGUGCAAAUUGUGGCUAAGGUCUUCGUCCGCACUCUUCAUGUUAUAGGUUUCUAUGUACAGGAAAUGUAUGAUUGAAUCAGGUAUAAAUUAUUGUUUAUUUAAUUGAAUAAGGGAUUUACCAUGAUUGGCCAGCAAUAUUGGUGUUAUGCGGCCUGUGGUGGUGAGUAUACUCUAAUAAGACAUGGCCUUUGCUUGAAGGGAUUUUCCCUUUCUUAAAUUAGGUGCGAGAUUAGGUGGGGGAAUUGGAAGGAUGAAUUUGGCUUUGUGUUAGCUGACAUUUUGAAGCAAUAUGAAAUAUUUUUCGAUGAUUUAUUACUCUACGCACUAAUUUUUUAGGUUAAUUCCAGUGUGGGUACAUGUGGUUUCAAACAAUAUAUGUGAAUUUUAAGCUGCUACUUUCUGUGUUUAUGCUUUUCUGAUUUUGUAGGAUUUUUGCUACUUUGUAUUUUGAUUACAGAUAAUUAAUGUUCAUGGGGCAUUAAAAUAAAUAAUCUGUUCUGAAAUGGGCUUUUCCUUUCUAAAAUUAGGUGGGGGAUUGGAAGGAUGAAUUUGGCUUCAUGUUAGCUGACAUUUUGAAGCAAAAUAAAGUAAAUAAUUCAGGCAUGAGAUUUGAGCCUGCGGGCAAAUGAGGAGAUCGAGAAGGAGGCUCUUUACCGAGUUCAAGCUCAAAAAAAUUCUGAAAAGUCAAAAGAGUUCAAGCUCUUCACUCUUUUGUGGGGUGUGCUGCAGAACAACGUCAUUGAUGCUUUGUGUUAAAUCUUGUAUUUUAUAACUUAAGUAGCAAUUACAUUUGAGUGAACAUGUGCAAUUUUUCAUGAUUUCCCCUCCUUUUUCCCUUCUGCAUUGUUAUGAGAAUUUCCUUAACAUAGUUAGUAAUUGAAAUUGAAGUAGCAUUCAUUAUUAUUAAAGGAUUGUAGAGUUAAUAUUUUUC